rnacentral:tRNA from 2 species
UGCGGGAUGGAGCAGUCUGGUAGCUCGCCGGGCUCAUAACCCGGAGGCCGGAGGUUCAAAUCCUCCUCCCGCGACCA